rnacentral:miRNA from 1 species
AGAAAUAUUUUCAUGCAUGCACACAAAUUCAUUCAUAUAUAUAAUGUAUAUGUGUAUACAUACAUACACACACACACACAUACAUACACACAAUCAUUU